rnacentral:tRNA from 1 species
AAUAGGAUGCCUGAUUUUAAGGGUUAUUUUGAUAGAAUAAAAAAGUAUUUAUUUAUACUCCUAUUG